GCGAGUGAAGAGGGAAGAGCCCAAGAUUGAAAGCUGGCGCCUUCGGCGUCCGCAUUGUAAUCUCAAGAAGUGUUUUCCGCUUCGGACCAUGCCUAAGUCCCUUGGAAAAGGGCAUCAUAGAGGGUGAUAAUCCCGUACAUGGCAUGGAGCGCCCGAAGCUUUGUGAUACGCUUUCUAAGAGUCGAGUUGUUUGGGAAUGCAGCUCAAAAUGGGUGGUAAAUGCCAUCUAAGGCUAAAUAUUGGGGAGAGACCGAUAGCGAACAAGUACAGUGAUGGAAAGAUGAAAAGAACUUUGAAAAGAGAGUUAAACAGUACGUGAAAUUGCCAAAAGGGAAGGGUAGGAGGUCAGAGAUGCGUCGCAGGAUUCAGCCUUGCUUUUGCUUGGUGUUUUUCCUGCGUUGCAGGCCAACGUCGGUUUUGGGCACUGGAGAAGGGUAGGAGGAACGUGGCACCUCUCGGGGUGUGUUAUAGCCUCCUACUGGAUACAGCGACCGAGACCGAGGAACGCAGCGUACUCGUAAGAGCGGGCCUUUUGGCACCUUUACGCUUAGGGCGUUGGCAUAAUGGCCCUCUACCACCCGUCUUGAA
rnacentral:rRNA from 1 species